rnacentral:tRNA from 1 species
GCCGCGAUAGCUCAGUUGGGAGAGCGUCAGACUGAAGAUCUGGAGGUCCCCGGUUCGAUCCCGGGUCUCGGCA